rnacentral:lncRNA from 1 species
AAGAAACUAAAAAUUCUAAGAUUCAAGGAGUUAAUUAACUGUGAUAGAGAAAAGUAACUAGUUUAGAUUUUUGUGGGAAAGGCAAAGAAGCAGAUCUAGGCUUUAUUUUAGAGUAAAUGCCCUAACAAAGACUCCUGGAAUAAAGAAUAGCUUGCCGCAGAAUUUCUUUUAUGAAAUUAAGCAAAUUAUAGCCUUUAAUAAUACUAAUAGUUGACAUUUAUUUAAAUUAAAAAAAACAUGCUUUAUGUUCCACUCAACUUUGUCUUUCAGAAGCUAGAUGACACAGGAGAUAGAGUGUUGGACUUGGAGUCAAGAAGACCUGAGUUCAAAUGUAACCUCAGUCAUUUACCAGUUAUAUGAUCCUCAAAUUGCUCUAAAAGAGCAGAAGGUUUAUUCAAGAACAGCAAUGGCAACAAAGUUCUGAACAAUCACUUGUCACGGAGUGGAACUGGGCCAGUGGCAAAAUGCUAAAAGGUCUCUGUAGAUUACAAUGAAUGAGUCCAGUUUGACUUGCAUAGUAUGGGUUCCAGAAAUCAAUGCUGAGCUUCUGAAAGUGUCAUUUUUCCCCCUGAAAAACAAGAAAUCCAAAAAGUGAAGAUGAGAAUUAAAAGUGGUUUUGCUAGAUUCUAAACUGGUCUUUCACAAUACGUCAGCCGCCAGUCUAAUAUUCCCUUGUCAAAUGUAUUCAUUUAAUUUCACCUCACUGUAGGCAUUUACUGACUUGGGGUGAAAUGCAGAGCUUGUUGUGUGAUACUCUCAUUUGGCCUUGUUUCACUGAUUAAAUUGAAUAUUUAUUCUUGAUUCAUCCUCCUUAUUCUCACUUUAUUCUUAGGGUCCAUGAGAAAUAUUGUUUUGUGUCUCUGAGGGGUGCUAAGAUCCCUUCCCUAUUGACCACUGAUCAUGCCUGAGGAAACACCAUUGUUGAGCCUUUCCAUUGUGCCAAGCAUUGGUCUCACAACAUAACCCUGUACAUAGAAGAAAAAUAUAACGACUCCAAAUCACAAAGGACUUACUGUGAAUUAGAGGCAGCUCUUGUGUGGAAAUUCUCCUGGGAUGCCAGGAAAAAAAACCUGGGCUACACAAGGACACUUCCCCAGAGAACCUUUUCUCUUUUCUGUUGCCUCCAGUUUUCCUUAAAUUCCAAUGGGAUUUAAAUUUUUAUCCUGGCUCUCUGGGAUGUGAGACUCAGUGAUAUUCUUAAUUCAAAUGAAACAUUGUAGGGGUUAAAAGACUUUAGUAGGGAAUUAAAGAAAGUAAAAGGAAAUAGGAAACAGAAAAACAAUCAGAUAAAGAAAUUUUGGAUUUCAUGAAUAAAGCAGUGGAACACUUGUACA